ACUCCUACGGGAGGCAGCAGUGGGGAAUUUUGCGCAAUGGGGGAAACCCUGACGCAGCAACGCCGCGUGGAGGAUGAAGUCCCUUGGGAUGUAAACUCCUUUCGACCCGGACGAUACUGAC
rnacentral:rRNA from 1 species